rnacentral:ncRNA from 1 species
ACUAAACCGAUGAGAAAGAGUAGUAAUCAGUUGAAAUAAUUUUCAGAGAGUCCUACGUUGGUGUGAGUAGGAUAGUUAGAGAUUGAUGAAUGGACUUUUGAGGGCAGCCCGAAUGGUUAUCUAGUAGGCGCUGACGGCACACGACCGUUAUCAUGUGAGCAUAUUGAUGGAUAUGUGUAUAAAGUGGAUCGAUAGAUCAAACCGGGUGGUACCGCAGGAUUAUUUUAUGAUUUAGAUAACUCUUGUCCCAGUG